ensembl:lncRNA
CACAUAAAGGCAGAAAUGAAACAAUAACGCGGCGCACAGUGCGACGCAUGCACCAGUUUAUUGUAUUUCCAGACUUGCUUUCGGCACAAUUUACAGUGCACGCUACUCUGUUUUUUGUCAGACUUGAAAUAGCCGAAAUACCUUCACACUACGGAACUUCUAUGGCUCUUCCGUUCGACAAUCUCUCCGGCAUUGGAACCAUCAUCUGUUUUCUCUUCGGUCACGCUCGGUUGAUUUUUCUAGUCGGCACACUCAUUUCCUCCAUUACGCGCUGGCUCCAUUACCCGCUGGCUGCUUCCCAAACAAACACACGUGCGGCUUGGCACUUGUGCUGUACGUAACAAGUCACGCGACGUGACGCUGCGGCUGUGAUUGGUUCGGCUCUGCGCUACUUAAUUUGGAUUGGCUGACCUUUUUUUUUUUUUUUUUUUUUUGAGGACAAGAGCGGCGAGGUCUAUCGCGAUAGCUUAAUUUCUCUAUCGAGUAAAAGUUAUAUCGCGAUACAUAUCGUUAUCGUUCUAUCGCCCAGCUCUAGUGCUAUUAUAUUAGAGUGGAUCUUCACUCGACAGUGCAGCCUAGGCGAAGUAGUCGAACGCAGAUCCACUGAGCUCUCAACACAGACAGCAUCGUCAGAAGAAAAGUUGAUAAAGUACAUUAAAAAUUUUGUAUUGUUCGAUACAUAUGCGUACCGAACCAAAAGCACUGUAUCAGACGGUUCAAUAUCGAUACGAGUAUCGUUGCACCCCUACUAGGAAGGCCCAUAAAGAAACUCGUUGUUCUUCUACAAGCUGAAUGGUUAGCAACCUACCUUGGACGUUUAAAUACACAUGAUGCAUUUCAGUUAUUGCUCUACUCUACCAACUACAACUACAGUAUAUUGUAAAUAUACUAAUGCUAAUUUGAAAGUUUUUUAAUAUGUUCAUUUCUUAUUCUAAAUGCCUUCCUGCAAAAACGGAUGUCUUAUUUCACCUCUGUAUCAAAAAAAUCUACAGUAAGCAUGUGUUGUUCAUCUUUUUAGAGAACAGGAUUAUUGUCC